GAUCAUGGCUCAGGAUGAACGCUAGCUACAGGCUUAACACAUGCAAGUCGAGGGGAAACGAUAGAGAAAGCUUGCUUUUUCUAGGCGUCGACCGGCGCACGGGUGAGUAACGCGUAUCCAACCUGCCCAUCACUUGGGGAUAACCUUGCGAAAGUAAGACUAAUACCCAAUGACGUCUCUAGAAGACAUCUGAAGGAGAUUAAAGAUUUAUCGGUGAUGGAUGGGGAUGCGUCUGAUUAGCUUGUUGGCGGGGUAACGGCCCACCAAGGCGACGAUCAGUAGGGGUUCUGAGAGGAAGGCCCCCCACAUUGGAACUGAGACACGGUCCAAACUCCUACGGGAGGCAGCAGUGAGGAAUAUUGGUCAAUGGACGAGAGUCUGAACCAGCCAAGUAGCGUGCAGGAUGACGGCCCUAUGGGUUGUAAACUGCUUUUAUAAGGGAAUAAAGUGGGAGUCGUGACUCUUUUUGCAUGUACCUUAUGAAUAAGGACCGGCUAAUUCCGUG
rnacentral:rRNA from 1 species